rnacentral:rRNA from 1 species
GACGAACGCUGGCGGCGCGCCUAACACAUGCAAGUCGAACGGAGUCACGAGGAGCUUGCUUUUCUUGACUUAGUGGCGAACGGGUGAGUAACGCGUGAGUAACCUGCCCUGGAGUGGGGGACAACAGUUGGAAACGACUGCUAAUACCGCAUAAGCCCACGGAUCCGCAUGGAUCUGCGGGAAAAGGAUUUAUUCGCUUCAGGAUGGACUCGCGUCCAAUUAGCUAGUUGGUGAGGUAACGGCCCACCAAGGCGACGAUUGGUAGCCGGACUGAGAGGUUGAACGGCCACAUUGGGACUGAGACACGGCCCAGACUCCUACGGGAGGCAGCAGUGGGGGAUAUUGCACAAUGGGGGAAACCCUGAUGCAGCGACGCCGCGUGGAGGAAGAAGGUUUUCGGAUUGUAAACUCCUGUCGUGAGGGACGAUAAUGACGGUACCUAACAAGAAAGCACCGGCUAACUACGUG